AACUUAUUGAACUGAUAAAGUGUGUAUAAUUUAGUAUUGCAAUGGAUUCUAAAACUUGCUCAGACGUACAUGUCCAGGGUCAGAGAAAUUAAAUACUGAAAUAUGACAUCAAACACGACUGACCAAAUUCAUGAUGAUCCAUCCAAAACGAAGGAUAAAAAGCGUGA